rnacentral:tRNA from 1 species
AUCAAUUUAGCAAAAAUGUGCGACUGAUUUAGAGUCAGUGAUAUAUAAGUGUGAGUCCUAUAUUUGAUA